rnacentral:rRNA from 1 species
GACGAACGCUGGCGGCGUGCUUAACACAUGCAAGUCGAACGGAAAGGCCCUGCUUUUGUGGGGUGCUCGAGUGGCGAACGGGUGAGUAACACGUGAGUAACCUGCCAUUGACUUUGGGAUAACUUCAGGAAACUGGGGCUCAUACCGGAUAGGAGCUCCUGCUGCAUGGUGGGGGUUGGAAAGUUUCGGCGGUUGGGGAUGGACUCGCGGCUUAUCAGCUUGUUGGUGGGGUAGUGGCUUACCAAGGCUUUGACGGGUAGCCGGCCUGAGAGGGUGACCGGCCACAUUGGGACUGAGAUACGGCCCAGACUCCUACGGGAGGCAGCAGUGGGGAAUAUUGCACAGUGGGCGGAAGCCUGAUGCAGCAACGCCGCGUGCGGGAUGACGGCCUUCGGGUUGUAAACCGCUUUCGCCUGUGACGAAGCGUGAGUGACGGUAAUGGGUAAAGAAGCACCGGCUAACUACGUG